AACGCUAGCUACAGGCUUAACACAUGCAAGUCGAGGGGCAGCAUGAACUUAGCUUGCUAAGUUUGAUGGCGACCGGCGCACGGGUGAGUAACGCGUAUCCAACCUUCCGUACACUCAGGAAUAGCCUUUCGAAAGAAAGAUUAAUACCUGAUGGUAUGAUGAGAUUGCAUGAAAUCAUCAUUAAAGAUUCAUCGGUGUACGAUGGGGAUGCGUUCCAUUAGAUAGUAGGCGGGGUAACGGCCCACCUAGUCGACGAUGGAUAGGGGUUCUGAGAGGAAGGUCCCCCACAUUGGAACUGAGACACGGUCCAGACUCCUACGGGAGGCAGCAGUGAGGAAUAUUGGUCAAUGGGCGCGAGCCUGAACCAGCCAAGUAGCGUGAAGGAUGAAGGUCCUACGGAUUGUAAACUUCUUUUAUAAGGGAAUAAAGUCACCCACGUGUGGGUGUUUGUAUGUACCUUAUGAAUAAGCAUCGGCUAACUCCGUGCCAGCAGCCGCGGUAAUACGGAGGAUGCGAGCGUUAUCCGGAUUUAUUGGGUUUAAAGGGAGCGUAGACGGGUCGUUAAGUCAGCUGUGAAAGUUUGAGGCUCAACCUUAAAAUUGCAGUUGAUACUGGCGUCCUUGAGUACGGUUGAGGCAGGCGGAAUUCGUGGUGUAGCGGUGAAAUGCUUAGAUAUCACGAAGAACUCCGAUUG
rnacentral:rRNA from 1 species